rnacentral:rRNA from 1 species
UGGGGAAUAUUGCACAAUGGGCGGAAGCCUGAUGCAGCAACGCCGCGUGCGGGAUGACGGCCUUCGGGUUGUAAACCGCUUUCGCCUGUGACGAAGCGUGAGUGACGGUAAUGGGUAAAGAAGCACCGGCUAACUACGUGCCAGCAGCCGCGGUGAUACGUAGGGUGCGAGCGUUGUCCGGAUUUAUUGGGCGUAAAGGGCUCGUAGGUGGUUGAUCGCGUCGGAAGUGUAAUCUUGGGGCUUAACCCUGAGCGUGCUUUCGAUACGGGUUGACUUGAGGAAGGUAGGGGAGAAUGGAAUUCCUGGUGGAGCGGUGGAAUGCGCAGAUAUCAGGAGGAACACCAGGGGCGAAGGCGGUUCUCUGGGCCUUUCCUGACGCUGAGGAGCGAAAGCGUGGGGAGCGAACA